UACAAAGUUCCCCAAUAGCACCCUUUUUUUGGGGACGAAAAACUCAUCAGUCACCAUAGGAAUAGUAUCACACUGAUAUAAAAGAUCAGUGAGGGUUUUUUUGUUGUCACUGUCAUCAGUGGGAAUGAGUACUAAUUUAGUAAAAAUUAAGUAAAAAUAUGAUUAUUUAAUAAGACAAGCCCACUGUAUCGAUGUGUAUACCCACUAACACGGCGUCCAAUGCAUCUCUCCUCCCUAUUUACCACAAAAACUAAUCUCUCUCUCUUCAAUCUUCAUAUUUUUGACAUUGAAGUUUUUCAUCUUCUCCUCUCUCACUGUGCUGCCGUUCCCGGUUUCUUUCCUUCGAUUCGUUUUAUCUACUGCGGAUCCACCAAAUUUAUCGGGGAACUAGCUGCACCGAUGAAGAAGGAGUUGCGGAGCUUUUGGUUGUUUGACAUCUUUUGGAACCUGGAAGGCUCAGAUCUACAAAAGCCCCCAACUUCCCUGGUUCGAUAUCGCCGGAUACACGACAUGCGUCACCGUCCCCUUUACUUUUAAGGCCUUAAGGUGAAUGAUUGAGGACUAUUCAUACAUCAGUAGGUCGCUCACAUACCCGAUCUAUCAAUUUAUGGCUUUUCUGGGUCUUAUGUGGUGGGAUUUUUGUUAAUUUUCAGUUUGGGUGUUUUAUUAAGUUCUGAAUUGUGAAAUUUGAAUCUUUUGGGGCUAGUUUAGUUUUUGGAAUGCUUCUUUAGGAUCAACAUUGUUUGAGUUGUUUGAUUUUCCCAAAUUCAUGAUUGAAAUAUUAGGUUACUCCUUGACUUGUCUUGAUUUGGUUUAUUUCAGUUCAGUAGUAUCAAAAUUCAAAGUUUCAUUGUUAUUCUACUAUACUUGUGAUCUUUAUUGAUGUGUUCUUGUAUCAACGAUAGUUGGUAAUAUUUGGUAUUUCUAAUACAGUAGCUCUCAGCCUCUAUUGGUAAUUACUUUCAUGCGUACUCCUUGCUUAACAUAUCUGAGUCUUCUUCAUCAGAGUUGGUCCACUAUUGAUAUUAACCUUGGGCUGAGGUAUCUCUUUAGUAACAAAGACAUCUUCUUCAUGGAGUUGAGUUCCGAUGCUUCUGAUGUCCCAGGAUAUGAGCAUGGAAAUUUUAUUGGUCCGACCAUCUUAUCAAAUGUCACGGCUGACAUGGAGUGCUACAAGGAAGAAAUUUUUGGUCCAGUUCUUCCUGCUUUAAUUUUCAGUGUUGUUCUGUGAUGGAGGAGUCAUAGUACAAAGCAGAAGCUUAAUUAGACCAAGAGUCUUCAUUAUAAUGAGAAGGUUAUUCGUUAGGAAGUGUUGCAGCAUCAAAGGGUUGCAGCCUUGGGGAGGAACAGUCUUGAUGUUUAAAUUUUGAUGGGUUUAUCUGUAAAUUUUUAGUUUGUGUAGUUUGGUACUUUUUACAAUACAAUAUACAGUACAUUAAUGUAGAGGUGCCAGUUGGCACCUUAUUUUUUUUAAUCCAGCUUCAUAAUUUUGCCACUGAUAUCAGUGGCAUUCCAAAACCACCAUUACACACUGAUAAUGGUUGCUUUGGCACUGAUUUUGAUGCUGCCUUGCCUUGGUUUAAGUUAUGUCACUGUUAAGUUAUUGGUGUGUAAUGUCCCAUUAGCACCUA